CCCUGAGCCAUCACUGAUGUGUGAUUGGUGCAUGAAUAAGUUCAUGUUGAUCAUAGAUAAAUUGAUCAAUACCCAAAACAGCUCGUAUAAAUAGACAUGUAGAUUAGAGGAAACAUUAGCUUCUGCCAAAAGCACUCUCUCCCUAAGAACUGAUUCAGAUCUCCCUUCUUGUCAAAUUGAUGUUGAAUAUUAUGAAUGUGUUAAUUGGGAGUUUGACAGAGCGGAAAACGAGUUCAUCUAUAGAGGAAAGGUUCCGAUGACUUUGACUUUAUAUGUUGACGCUGAAGCAUCACCUAAAAAAAAAGUUGACGCUGAAGCAGGUUUUGAUUAUGAUUGCUUCUAACGUACAUAUGGUUAUGACAUUUUCCCCACUGCCUACGCAAGACUAG
rnacentral:lncRNA from 1 species